ACUCCUACGGGAGGCAGCAGUGGGGAAUAUUGGACAAUGGGCGCAAGCCUGAUCCAGCCAUGCCGCGUGAGUGAAGAAGGCCUUCGGGUUGUAAAGCUCUUUUGCCAGGGAAGAAACGGUGCGGGCUAAUAUCCUGCACUAAUGACGGUACCUGAAGAAUAAGCACCGGCUAACUACGUGCCAGCAGCCGCGGUAAUACGUAGGGUGCAAGCGUUAAUCGGAAUUACUGGGCGUAAAGCGUGCGCAGGCGGUUUUGUAAGACAGGCGUGAAAUCCCCGGGCUCAACCUGGGAACUGCGUUUGUGACUGCAAGGCUAGAGUAUGGCAGAGGGGGGUGGAAUUCCACGUGUAGCAGUGAAAUGCGUAGAGAUGUGGAGGAACACCGAUGGCGAAGGCAGCCCCCUGGGCCAAUACUGACGCUCAUGCACGAAAGCGUGGGUAGCAAACAGGAUUAGAUACCCUGGUAGUCCACGCCCUAAACGAUGUCAACUAGGUGUUGGGUGGGUAAAACCAUUUAGUACCGGAGCUAACGCGUGAAGUUGACCGCCUGGGGUGUACGGCCGCAAGGUUAAAACUCAAAUGAAUUGACGGA
rnacentral:rRNA from 1 species